rnacentral:lncRNA from 1 species
GAUAACCCCAUUUCCUUGACAGUAUUACUCUGAAGAGACAAAACCACAUUCCCCAUGAAAUGGGAACAGAGAACUGUAAGGAGAAUAAUUUAAAUUGAAGACAGAGGAGUAAUAGAACGGGCCAACAGGGAUGAAAUGAGCAGAGUAAAUGUCUUUGUGGAGACGCUGAAGAAGAUUGAAUCUGUGAUGGCUAAGAAAAGCUUCACCUGCUUCCUCAGGAUACAGGCACUUUUGACAACAGUCACUGAAUGCAACAGUUUUGGUGGGACCCUAAAAUCUAUUCACAAAGUGACAGGAAUGUAUUGUGGCUUUGAAAAGGCAUCCUUUGUUUCUAGAAAAUUAACAAAUAGUGCUACUUUCUAAAAGUAGUAAAGUGUCUGCUUUCCACAGAGAAGCCCAGCUCUGCUGCCAUGUCCAGUGAGAGGACAAGGGGCUAAAGAUGGAAGAUAGGAAGAGUUCUGUGAACACAGUCUGAAAGCAUUUCACUUAGGUCAGAUGCUGAGAACUGUCAGAAGCCAGUCAUGUGACAGAAGGGGCCAAAGAAGGAAUAGAAAAAGCAGAGUGGAAAUCCUGGCACUAACACGAGACCAGGUAAACAGUCGGCAGAAGCCAAAGCCAGCCUAAAUGGAUGUGCAUAGUGCUGGAUGGAGCCCAGGGUCUCACUCAUGCUAGGUUUACACUCUGCCCUGAUCUACGCCCUCCUCACCCAGCACUCCCCAGGCAGAGACAAGGGAUCUGUGAUCUCAGGCCCACGGUAAGUAGUACACAGAGAACUCCAAGGACAGCCAGCCAUCCAGAGCUACCUAGUGAGACCCAGUCUUUAAACAAACAAAACCCCUCACAAUAACUCCUUGAAUGACAUGCUGUUGUGGGCCAAUCAAAACUUUCUCUGGCCUGGCAUAGUAGCAUGGAUCUCUAACCCCAGUACUCAGGAGGCAGAAGCUGUCAGGUCUCUCUAAGUAGGAGGCAAACCCGGUCUAGAUGGUGAGGUCCCAUACAGCCAGGGCUCUGUGGAGAGACCUGCCUCAGAAAAGAAGAGGAAGAGGAGAAAGAAAAUGUCUCGAGGAUUCUUCCCAUAUCCCAUUCUCUCUUCUCACUUAAAAGAGUAGCAAAGCUGGACUUACCUGUUUAAAGCAAGGCUGACACAUUACCUCUCUGACUUAAGGAAAGGAAUUUAUCUUGUGAUAUGGUGGCCACAAACCAGGGUGAUCACCACAAGUUCCAUGACACUCCGUUCACAGAUUUCUAGAAUAUAUAAAUGAUUUGUCAAAAUAAGUUCUUAGUUUAUUUAAUAUACUUCAUUUGGAUUCUUUGGUUGGUUUUUUUUGGGGGGGGUUGUUUGGUUGGUUGGUUUGGUUUUUGUUUUUUGAGACAGUAUUUCUCUGUGUAACCCUGGCUAUCCUGGAACUCAAUCUGUAGACCAGGCUGACCUCCAUCUCAGAGAUCCUGCCUCUGCCUUUCAAGUUCUGGGAUUAAAGGCAUUUACUUAAUACAUUUAAAGGCAAUCAUUAGAACUGGAAACAGAAUUUAUUAAAAUCACUACAGAAAAUAAAAACAGUUGUGGAAAAAAGC